rnacentral:rRNA from 1 species
AUUGAACGCUGGCGGCAUGCCUUACACAUGCAAGUCGAACGGUAACGCGGGGGCAACCCUGGCGACGAGUGGCGAACGGGUGAGUAAUACAUCGGAACGUACCCAGUAGUGGGGGAUAGCUCGGCGAAAGCCGGAUUAAUACCGCAUACGACCUAUGGGUGAAAGCGGGGGAUCGCAAGACCUCGCGCUAUUGGAGCGGCCGAUGUCGGAUUAGCUAGUUGGUGAGGUAAAGGCNCACCAAGGCUACGAUCCGUAGCUGGUCUGAGAGGACGACCAGCCACACUGGGACUGAGACACGGCCCAGACUCCUACGGGAGGCAGCAGUGGGGAAUUUUGGACAAUGGGCGAAAGCCUGAUCCAGCCAUGCCGCGUGUGUGAAGAAGGCCUU